rnacentral:rRNA from 1 species
CGGACGGGUGAGUAAUGUCUGGGAAACUGCCUGAUGGAGGGGGAUAACUACUGGAAACGGUAGCUAAUACCGCAUAACGUCGCAAGACCAAAGUGGGGGACCUUCGGGCCUCUUGCCAUCGGAUGUGCCCAGAUGGGAUUAGCUAGUAGGUGGGGUAACGGCUCACCUAGGCGACGAUCCCUAGCUGGUCUGAGAGGAUGCCAGCCACACUGGAACUGAGACACGGUCCAG